rnacentral:rRNA from 1 species
ACGCUGGCGGCAGGCCUAACACAUGCAAGUCGAGCGGAAACGACACUAACAAUCCUUCGGGUGCGUUAAUGGGCGUCGAGCGGCGGACGGGUGAGUAAUGCCUAGGAAAUUGCCUUGAUGUGGGGGAUAACCAUUGGAAACGAUGGCUAAUACCGCAUAAUGCCUACGGGCCAAAGAGGGGGAUCUUCGGACCUCUCGCGUCAAGAUAUGCCUAGGUGGGAUUAGCUAGUUGGUGAGGUAAUGGCUCACCAAGGCGACGAUCCCUAGCUGGUCUGAGAGGAUGAUCAGCCACACUGGAACUGAGACACGGUCCAGACUCCUACGGGAGGCAGCAGUGGGGAAUAUUGCACAAUGGGCGAAAGCCUGAUGCAGCCAUGCCGCGUGUAUGAAGAAGGCCUUCGGGUUGUAAAGUACUUUCAGUUGUGAGGAAGGGGGUAACGUUAAUAGCGBUAUCUCUUGACGUUAGCAACAGAAGAAGCACCGGCUAACUCCGUGCCAGCAGCCGCGGUAAUACGGAGGGUGCGAGCGUUAAUCGGAAUUACUGGGCGUAAAGCGCAUGCAGGUGGUUCAUUAAGUCAGAUGUGAAAGCCCGGGGCUCAACCUCGGAACUGCAUUUGAAACUGGUGAACUAGAGUGCUGUAGAGGGGGGUAGAAUUUCAGGUGUAGCGGUGAAAUGCGUAGAGAUCUGAAGGAAUACCAGUGGCGAAGGCGGCCCCCUGGACA